rnacentral:rRNA from 1 species
GAUGAACGCUGGCGGCGUGCUUAACACAUGCGAGUCGAACGGAAAGGCCCAAGCUUGCUUGGGUACUCGAGUGGCGAACGGGUGAGUGACACGUGGGUGAUCUGCCCCGCACUUCGGGAUAAGCCUGGGAAACUGGGGCUAAUACCGGAUAGGACAGUGGUUUGGAUGCCAUUGUGGAAAGAUUUUUGGGUGUGGGGUGAGCUCGCGGCCUAUCAGCUUGUUGGUGGGGGGAUGGCCUACCAAGGCGUCGGCGGGUAGACGGCCUGGGAGGGUGUACGGCCACCUUGGGACUGAGGUACGGCCCAGACUCCUACGGGAGGCAGCAGUGGGGAAUAUUGCACAAUGGGCGCAAGCCUGAUGCAGCGACGCCGCGUGGGGGAUGACGGCCUUCGGGUUGUAAACUCCUUUCGCUAGGGACGAAGCGUUAUGUGACGGUACCUAGAGAAGAAGCACCGGCUAACUACGUG